AAAUGAUUACAACUCGCUGAAGACUCAUGAUGGUUAGCAUUUUUUAGCAAUAAAGUCUUUUUUAAUUAAGUGGUCUAGAACCAAACCUGCAAUAUCUCCGAGGUACGCCUGUACCCAUGUAAUGAAGGAGAAACAUGAGAGUGGUGACCAAUGUGACUGGACUUAGUCUGGUGAGGUGUACGCUAUUGGAGAUUUGCUCCCAUAAA